AUUGAACGCUGGCGGCAUGCUUUACACAUGCAAGUCGAGCGGCAGCACGUGGUCACCCCUGGUGGCUAGCGGCGAACGGGUGAGUAAUACAUCGGAACAUGCCCAGUCGUGUGGGCUAACCCUUCGAAUAAAGUGCUAAUACCGCAUCCGUUCUGCGGUAGAACUCGGGGGAUCUCCAUACCUCGCGCGAUUGGAUUGUCCGAUGUCAGAUUAGCUAGUUGGUGGGGUAAAGGCCUACGAAGGCAACGAUCUGUAGCUGUUCUGAGAGGAUGAUCAGCCACACUGAGACUGAGACACGGACGAGACUCAUACGGGAGGCAGAAGUGGGGAAGGUUGGAAAAUGGGGGCAACCGUGAGCCAGACAUUGCGCGUGAGUGAAGAAGGCCUUCGGGUUGUAAAGCUCUUUCGGCAGGGACGAAAAGGCGAGCUCUAAGAUAGAUGGCUAAUGACGGUACCUGAAGAAGAAGCACCGGCUAACUACGUG
rnacentral:rRNA from 1 species